rnacentral:rRNA from 1 species
AUUGAACGCUGGCGGCAGGCCUAACACAUGCAAGUCGAGCGGAUGACGGGAGCUUGCUCCUUGAUUCAGCGGCGGACGGGUGAGUAAUGCCUAGGAAUCUGCCUGGUAGUGGGGGACAACGUUUCGAACGGAACGCUAAUACCGCAUACGUCCUACGGGAGAAAACAGGGGACCUUCGGGCCUUGCGCUAUCAGAUGAGCCUAGGUCGGAUUAGCUAGUUGGUGGGGUAAUGGCUCACCAAGGCGACGAUCCGUAACUGGUCUGAGAGGAUGAUCAGUCACACUGGAACUGAGACACGGUCCAGACUCCUACGGGAGGCAGCAGUGGGGAAUAUUGGACAAUGGGCGAAAGCCUGAUCCAGCCAUGCCGCGUGUGUGAAGAAGGUCUUCGGAUUGUAAAGCACUUUAAGUUGGGAGGAAGGGCAGUAAGCUAAUACCUUGCUGUUUUGACGUUACCGACAGAAUAAGCACCGGCUAACUCUGUGCCAGCCGCCGCCGUAAUAC